UACAGAGGGGGCAAGCGUUGUUCGGAAUUACUGGGCGUAAAGGGCGCGUAGGCGGCCUUCUAAGUCGAACGUGAAAUCCCUGGGCUCAACCCAGGAACUGCGUCCGAUACUGGAAGGCUUGAAUCCGGGAGAGGGUAGCGGAAUUCCCGGUGUAGUGGUGAAAUGCGUAGAUAUCGGGAGGAACACCAGUGGCGAAGGCGGCUCACUGGACCGGAACUGACGCUGAGGCGCGAAAGCGUGGGGAGCAAACAGG
rnacentral:rRNA from 1 species